UACGAGUGCCCCGAGCGUUAUCCGGAAUCAUUGGGCGUAAAGGGUGUGUAGGUGGUCGUGCUAGUCUUCCGUCAAAACCCUCGGCUCAACCGAGGAUCUGCGAGAGAAACGACACGACUGGAGGGUGCGAGGGGUGAAUGGAACUCAUGGAGUAGGGGUGAAAUCCGUUGAUAUCAUGGGGAACACCAAAAGCGAAGGCAGUUCACUGGAGCAUUCCUGACACUGAAACACGAAAGCGUGGGUAGCGAAUGGG
rnacentral:rRNA from 1 species